UACGUAGGGUGCGAGCGUUAAUCGGAAUUACUGGGCGUAAAGCGUGCGCAGGCGGUUUUGUAAGACAGAGGUGAAAUCCCCGGGCUCAACCUGGGAACUGCGCUUGUAACUGGCAAGCUAGAGUGUGGCAGAGGGGGGUGGAAUUCCACGUGUAGCAGUGAAAUGCGUAGAGAUGUGGAGGAACACCGAUGGCGAAGGCAGCCCCCUGGGCUAACACUGACGCUCAUGCACGAAAGCGUGGGGAGCAAACAGG
rnacentral:rRNA from 1 species